rnacentral:rRNA from 1 species
UACAGAGGGGGCAAGCGUUGUUCGGAAUUACUGGGCGUAAAGGGCGCGUAGGCGGCCUUCUAAGUCGAACGUGAAAUCCCCGGGCUCAACCCGGGAACUGCGUCCGAUACUGGAAGGCUUGAAUCCGGGAGAGGGAUGUGGAAUUCCAGGUGUAGCGGUGAAAUGCGCAGAUAUCAGGAGGAACACCGAUGGCGAAGGCGGCAUCCUGGACCAAUUCUGACGCUGAGUGAGCGAAAGCCAGGGGAGCAAACGGG